rnacentral:rRNA from 1 species
CCUACGGGAGGCAGCAGUGGGGAAUUUUGGACAAUGGGCGCAAGCCUGAUCCAGCAAUGCCGCGUGCAGGAAGAAGGCCUUCGGGUUGUAAACUGCUUUUGUACGGAGCGAAAAGGCUCUCUCUAAUACAGGGGGCUCAUGACGGUACCGUAAGAAUAAGCACCGGCUA